GCCAGUGUGGCGUAGUGGUUUGAGCAUUGGACUAGGACUCUGGAGACCAGGGUUGAAUCCCAGCUCCAGCA
rnacentral:tRNA from 1 species